ensembl:lincRNA
GACAGACUCAAUUCAGAGUGAAGAGUAAGCUUUCAGAUACUUUUCAUUGCAUUUAUAUUAUAAACUCCAUUUGGUGGGUGAAUAUCACUGUAAGCCUCAGCAUUCAUAUGCUAAUGUUAUAAGUUGGAGUUGUCAAGAGAAUUAUGCACAGGCUUGAGUACAUGUGUGUGUGAGUGAGUGAUAUUUGUGUUUGCCAAAGCAGCAUGUGCUCCUAAAGGGAGAGUGUGUCUUAUCUUACUAGCUGUCUGGUCUCAGUUUCUCUCUCUAAUGUGCCAGGAAGAAAAUGUCUUCAUCACUGAAUAUUUUGGUGAUGCACAGAUUCCAGGAUGCCUUCCAGUGUCUUUAUGGCAUAAGGGGUGGCUGCACAUCUCAGUCCUGCCAAUGGAAUUUAAGGAGUCUACUAACAUUGUUUCCAGAAAAGCUUUUCUCUUUCUGAUUAAAACACCCAGGUAUGUCUGGCUAUCACUUUCCACCUCUUUUCCUGUUUUAAAUGCAGAUGUAGUACCUGGAGCUGUGCAGCUGUUUUGUGACUGUAAGUUGAUGAACAGAGAUGUUGGGCCUGGCACCACGGAGCUGCUGAAGACACACACAAAAAAGGCCUAUCUUUUGACUUCUAUAUUUUUGUGUGGAACAAAACUAUUUCAUUAAAAUAUUAUAGUUGAAUGUAGUUGAAUGCUUUGUUACUUGCAGCUAAAUACAUUCCUAAUAAGUAGAGAUUAUAACUAUAAUCUUACUAUAACUGUCUAUAUUAGCUACUAAUUGAAUAUAUUAUAUUUGGGAAAUAAUAAUUGUGGUAAUCUAAAUUAUUAACCCAGUUUUCUCCAACAAUAAUCUAAAUUGGUUUAAUAUGGGUAACUGAAAACAUACAAUAUGGUAAAUAAUGAAAUAAAUAAAUGUCAAAUAGGUGAGUAUGACAGAGAAAUAUUGAAAAUGUACUUUAUUUUAUUUUAGAAAUAAAAUCUGCUCUGUGUAGUCACUUCUGUGGUUCUUUCUCCCCUUCUUAUCAUGGCAUCCCAUACCUAUAAAAAAAUUAGUUCACACUAAUUAUCUGCAAAUGGGACUCAUCGUCACAGUGAAAUCGAGUCUCUCCUUGAUCCUAAUCCAAAUUUAACUGUAACCUAAAUGAUACCUGACAGAAAUAUGCAGAGGUCACAGAGUCCCUGCCUGUGAGAGACAUUAAUCAAACAAAUGUCAUUUUUACAGUUCAGUAGCUUUAUAUAAGAAAAUUUAACUUAAACCUUACGAAAAAGGAAGAUUCAAUGAAAAUACAUACAAUGCAUUUAGAAUAAGAAGGCAAAACUCUAGAGAUCAAGGUUGCUAAAUUAUUAUUUAAAAAAUCUGGCUGUAAGACAUACAGGCCAUUUUGGUCUCCUGGUUCUUUGACGCUGACAUUUUUAAUCAGAACAGUUUUCUCCUCAGUUGUCUCUUUCACUCUUUAAGAUAAUCAUUACCAGCAGGUUAGUAGUUCUAAUUUUUCUAUGAAUUGGUUGAUACUUCUGAGAACACAAAAUCAUUUUGAGAAUUUUGAGAAUACAAGUCAUUUUGUAGCAUUCAAGUGAAAAUAUC